UACGUAGGGCGCAAGCGUUGUCCGGAAUUAUUGGGCGUAAAGAGCGUGUAGGCGGCCAGGUAGGUCCGCUGUGAAAACUCGAGGCUCAACCUCGAGAUGUCGGCGGAAACCAUCUGGCUAGAGUCCGGAAGAGGAGAGUGGAAUUCCUGGUGUAGCGGUGAAAUGCGCAGAUAUCAGGAAGAACACCCGUGGCGAAGGCGGCUCUCUGGGACGGUACUGACGCUGAGACGCGAAAGCGUGGGGAGCGAACAGG
rnacentral:rRNA from 1 species